rnacentral:snRNA from 1 species
GUGCUCACUUUAGCAGCACAUAUACUAAAAUUGGAAUGAUAGGGAAGAUUAGCAUGGCCCCUGCACAAAGAUGAUGCACAAAUUUGUGAAACAUUCCAUAUUUUU